AAUCACUCACUAGCUAAGACAUUGGAGAAGAUGGCGGAAAUUGACAGUUAUCUUAAAACAGAAAUUGAAGACAAAGUAAAAGCGAUAUUGAAACUUAUUAAAGAUGGCGAACUUGAUAUGGAUGGCACACCGGAAGAAAUUUUGAAGAGG